GGGCCCGCACAAGCAGUGGAGUAUGUGGUUUAAUUCGAAGCAACGCGAAGAACCUUACCAGGGCUUGACAUCCUGCUAACGAAGCAGAGAUGCAUUAGGUACCCUUCGGGGGAAGCAGAGACAGGUGGUGCAUGGUUGUCGUCAGCUCGUGUCGUGAGAUGUUGGGUUAAGUCCCGCAACGAGCGCAACCCUUGCGGCUAGUUGCUACGAAAGAGCACUCUAGCCGGACUGCCGUUGACAAAACGGAGGAAGGCGGGGACGACGUCAAAUCAUCAUGCCCCUUAUGCCCUGGGCUACACACGUACUACAAUGGCGGUCAAACAACGGGGAGCGACACGGCGACGUGGAGCGAAUCCCAAAAAGCCGCCCCAGUUCAGAUUGCAGGCUGCAACUCGCCUGCAUGAAGCCGGAAUUGCUAGUAAUCGCGGAUCAGCAUGCCG
rnacentral:rRNA from 1 species